UGGGCAUGUGAUCUCUGAAGUCCUUGUCCUCUAACAAUCUUGUGAUUAAAUCCAAUCACAACAAUCAUAACAAUAGUCACUAUGUUCACUCCUAAACCUGAAAUAUCUUCAAAGCACAGUUUCCAUCCCUUUCCAUCACAUACCUGCGUACGAAUGGAGAAAGAGGGGAAUAUAGAAGCAACAUGGAAAUGAGAAUUGGAUGAAAGAGAAGAAAGAGUUUCAGUUUUUGUUGUUUGAAUGAGUCGCUACUUAGUUUAUGGUUUUCAGUAGUGAAGUGUGUUAGUUACUGUGUUAUUCUCUUCAUGCAGAUGCAAUUCUCCACUUUUCUUAUUUGUUUU